GAUCAUGGCUCAGGAUGAACGCUAGCGACAGGCUAACACAUGCAAGUCGAGGGGCAGCACGGGAGUAGCAAUACAACUGGUGGCGACCGGCGCACGGGUGAGUAACGCGUAUGCAACCUACCUAUCAGAGGGGAAUAACCCGGCGAAAGUCGGACUAAUACCGCAUAAAACAGGGGCACCGCAUGGUGAUAUUUGUUAAAGAAAUUCGCUGAUAGAUGGGCAUGCGUUCCAUUAGGUAGUUGGUGAGGUAACGGCUCACCAAGCCGACGAUGGAUAGGGGAACUGAGAGGUUGGUCCCCCACACUGGUACUGAGACACGGACCAGACUCCUACGGGAGGCAGCAGUGAGGAAUAUUGGUCAAUGGGCGGGAGCCUGAACCAGCCAAGUCGCGUGAAAGGAAGAAGGAUCUAUGGUUCGUAAACUUCUUUUGCAGGGGAAUAAAGUGCAGGACGUGUCCUGUUUUGUAUGUACCCUGAGAAUAAGGAUCGGCUAACUCCGUGCCAGCCGCAGC
rnacentral:rRNA from 1 species